UACGUAGGGUGCAAGCGUUGUCCGGAAUUAUUGGGCGUAAAGGGCUCGUAGGCGGUCUGUCACGUCGGGAGUGAAAACUCGGGGCUUAACCCCGAGCCUGCUUCCGAUACGGGCAGACUAGAGGUAUGCAGGGGAGAAUGGAAUUCCCAGUGUAGCGGUGAAAUGCGUAGAUAUUGGGAAGAACACCUGAGGCGAAGGCGGGUUGCUGGGCCGACACUGACGCUGAGGCGCGAAAGCCAGGGGAGCAAACGGG
rnacentral:rRNA from 1 species